rnacentral:rRNA from 1 species
AGGAAUCUUCCACAAUGGACGAAAGUCUGAUGGAGCAACGCCGCGUGAGUGAAGAAGGGUUUCGGCUCGUAAAGCUCUGUUGGUAGUGAAGAAAGAUAGAGGUAGUAACUGGCCUUUAUUGACGGUAAUUACUUAGAAAGUCACGGCUAACUACGUGCC